rnacentral:lncRNA from 1 species
UCUGUGCAGCAAACCUCCACGGUACACGUUUACCCAGUAAUAAACCUACACAUCGGCACAUAUUCCCUGAAACUUAAAAUAAAUGUUGAAGGAAAAAAAAUCAUUUUUCAGCCAAGCCUUUAUUAUAAACUAUUGUUAUUUCUCCCAAAAUUGCAAUUACAGUGCAAUGCAAAUGUAUCUUCAUGCAAUAGAUGUCAAGAUAAAGAAAUAAUAUUUUCAUUGAUAUUUAAAGCAUACCUCCCUGUUUGUUCUCACUUUAGAGAGGAAGAAAUCAAAACAAAGCAAUCAACCUAUAAACGGGACAUUUUGCAAUGCCUGGAAAUAUUUAUUUUUUUUUCAGAACUGGGAAGGUGUUACUGUCAUCUAGUGGGUAGCAACCUAUGAUGCUGGUCAAAAUCCUCAAAUGUACAAAGCUCUGUCAUAAUUAUUCAGCCAAAGAUGUCAAUCAUGUGGAGGCCGAGAAGCCCUUUCAGAAAGAAAUGUUUCGUGAAAUGUGAAGAUGUCUCUCCCCUUGAAAAUUUUGUUGUCAUUGUGCUCAGAUGUCUUUAUAAUCUCUAAUCCAAAACUAUACCUCUAUCAAAUCUCUAUGGAUCUGUGUUGAGAAAACAAUUAUAUGGCUCUUUGCUCUGUGAUCAAAUUAUGAUUUAUUGGUAAGAUUUAAAAAUUAUGAAUUACUGCUGCCAGCCAAAUGUAAAGAAAAAAGUUUAUUUGUAAAUAGGCAACUGUUUAUGAUUACAAGGGUAGGAUGGGUAUAAUGUAUGAGGGAGAGGAAAAAAAGUAAUCAAAACAUUAAAUUUGAGAAGUACAUCCUAAUAUUUUGAAAUGAAUGACAAUGAUAGCAACCAUGCCCAGCAAUAACGCCCUAUCUGGAAACAAUGUGAAGCUAAAAUAAGUCUAUAGAACCAAAAUUUAAUGUCAUAAGCACUGAUGUUCUAAGAGAUGAAAAGAUUAAAAUCUACUGACUAGUAUAAAUAGGCUAGGGGAUGUAAAGGGAAGAAAUAGAUCAAUUACUUCUCACUAUCAGUAUUCUAACCACUGUCAAUGGAGCAUUCAUGCAAAUAAUGCCAAAGGACAUGCUUACAGGUCUGUAUGAGGGUUUUCUCCUUGAUGGAUAAGAUGAAAUAAUGAAACAAGUGUCCAUGUGUAUGUUAGGUAUUUUUUAUGUUAUUCUUAUGGGUUUUCUUCUUUUUAAAAUAAAAAGAAAGCUCACAUUAGUGCUUUUCAUUUUUCAACAUGUUUUAGAUCUUUUUAAAAUAAAAAAAUAAUAUAAAUGGUAAUGUUGACCCAAUUAGCAGAAUGUUUUAAAUUAAAGUUAUCUUUCUGAAUAAUACCACCUACUGUAUAAUCAAAAAUAAUCCAUCAUUAAACCUUUUGAGUGUGUCUUAACUUCUUGUAAGUUAGCCUCCUUCUGCUGAUAGGGCAUCAAAGGGCAAUUCGUGCCCAAUUCAUGUAUGACCUGUGCAGUCCCAUGGGACUCUGUACUCAGUUUACGACUGUGUUGACAUUGUCUUGAAAUCAUUAAUAAUAUUUGAACAAAGAGCUGUGCUUUUUUAUUUUUCACUAGGCCCUAUACAUUUAUAUAUCCAGUCCUAUGGGUAAUGUUUGUGAGAAAGGACAGUGAAGAGCUGUCUUUCCUCUCAUGAACAGACACUGGUGGAGAGGAACCCAAAAGGGAGGGUCUGAGCUCUGUUUGUAGCAGAUGGGGGCCAUUGUAGUUAGCGCUACAUCCAUCCCAUUAAAACAAGAUUCUUUAUAGGAAGCAAUUAAAAAAAAUGAAACCAUGUCCUUCGCAGCAACAUGGUUGGAGCUGGAGGCUGUUAUUCUGAGUGAAAUAACUCAGAAACAGAAAAUCAAAUAUCACAUAGUCUCACUUAUACUUGGGAGCUAAACGAUGGAACACAUGAACAUAAAGGCAGAAAAAAUAAAUGCCUGGGGCUCCACAAGGUAAGAGAGUGGGAGGGAGGUGAGGGUUGAAAAUUACCCAUUGGAUACUGUACUUAAUAUUACCAAUUGGAUACUAUAUUCAAUAUUACCCAUUGGAUACUCUAUUUAAUAUUUGGGUGAUGAAUACACUAGGUGCCCAUUCCCCACCAUUACAUUACAUACCUGUGAUGGUUAAUACUGAAAGUCAACUUGAUGGUAUUGAAGUCUGAAAAGUAUUGAUCCUGGGUGGGCCUAUGAGGGUGUUGCCAAAGGAGAUUAACAUCUGAGUCAGUGGGCUGGGAAAGGCAGACCCACCCUUAAUCUGGGUGGGUACCAUCUAAUCAGCUGCCUGUGAGGCUAGAAUAUAAGGCAGGAAGAAAAGUGUGAAAAGACAAGACUGGCCUAGUUACCCAGCCUACAUCUUUAUCCCGUGCUGGAUGCUUCCUGCCCUUGAAUAUCAGACUCCAAGUUCCUCAGUUUUGAGCCUGGGACUGGGUCUUCUUGCUCCUCAGCUUGUAGAAAGCCUAGUGGGACUUGUGAUUACGUGAGUUAAUACUUAAUGAACUCUAAUAAACUUUAUAUAUGUGUGUGUGUGUGUAUUUAUAUAUAAAGGGGAAUUUAUUAAAUAUAUAUUUAUAUGUAUUUUAUUACAUCUGAGUAUAAAUUGUGUAAUAAUUAUAAAUCUAUUACAUGUUAAAUAUAUAUUAUAUAUUUUAUUACAUAUAAAUAUAUAUUUAUUAAAUAAAAAUAUAUUAUAUUAAAUUUAUAAUAUAUAUCUUAUAUUUAAAUAAUAUAUAAAAUUUUACUAUAUAUUUAAAAUAUAUUGUAUAUUUAUAUAUUAUAGUAUUAUGUAUUAUAUAUUUAUAUACUGUUAUACAAAUAUAUAUAAUUCCCACCCGAAGUGAGAAACGUGGUUGCUGUUUACUAAAUAGUUCCAAACACCUUUUCAACACAAGAUUAGAGAAUAGUUGAACUUUAAGUAGCACCUGUAUGUCACCAGAAGAUACAUAAAUAGCUAUAGGACGUAUGAUAAGAAUGUUAUAAUUCUAGAAAUAAGAUUCGUUCUAGCCAUUUCUUGCUUUUAACUUAGCAGAAACUUGUUUUUGUUGCAACCUGAAAGUCUUCUAAGCAAUCAAAAUUAUGUAUCUACUAAUUUUGAUAUGGUAUUUGAACCCUUGCAGAUGGGUUUUCAUUUAGAAGGGUAAAUAUGGCUACAGAAACAAAACAAUUUAUAUGAGCAUAAAUAAGUCUAUAUCUGAAGUAUCAAAUGGGUGAUAAUAAUGAUGAAUUCUAGAGGAGUUUAGAGAUUUAGAAGCUAGAGUGUCAUUAGUUCUUCCAGUCUACUUACACUCCCACCUCCAAACUUCAAAGACAUGUUUGAGUCCUACGGGGGAGAAAAAAAAAUAGGCAUUUGAGGCUGGGCACAGUGGCUCAGACCUGUAAUCUUAGCACUUUAGGAGGCCGAAGCGGCCAGAUCAUCUGAUUUCAGGAGUUUGAGACCAGCGUGACCAAAAUAGUGAAACUGUCUCUACUAAAAAUACAAAAUUAGCUAGGCAUAGUGGUGGGCGCCUGUAAUCCCAGCUACUCGGGAGGCCGAGGCAGGAGAAUCGCUUGAACCCGGGAGGCAGAGGUUGCAGGGAGUAGAGAUCGUGUCACUGUACUCCAGCUUGGCAACACAACGAGACUCCGUCUCAAAAACAAAAAAAAAAAAGAAAGAAAGAAAGAAAGAAAGAAAGAAAGAAAGAAAGAAAGAAAGAAAGAAAGAAAGAAAGAAAGAAAGAAAGAAAGAGAAAAGAAAAUGAGUAUGGUAAUAGUUAUUAAAGUUCUGCAGUCAAAGCAAUAUUUGUUUUUAUUGAGGGUUGUAUAAGGAUGUGUUCGGGGCCAUGGGGGUUUACAUAUAUUUGUAUGUGAAAGAAAGAGAGAGAGGAAGUAGAUUAAUAUAUUUCAUACAUGCCCAACAGAAUCUAAGAAACAAUGCUAUGUCUAAUAAUUUCUAUAUACAUUGUGGACAUAUUGAAUAUUUUUCUAUUGCCCAUUCAUUUAUUCACUAAUGAAUUCUAUUCAUUUAUAAUUUAGUUGUCUGUUGUGUGUCAGAUAUGGUUUAGGCAUACGUUAAUAAUGGCAAAAAAUGUACUGACAAUUUUGGAAUAUUCCAUACACUGUUUAGAUUAAACUGCUGUGUAGCAGAAGUAGCAUUUGAUUACCACACCCAGAAAGAGUCAAAUUCAGUUCAAUUUAUGACAGAGGAAAUAUUCAAUACAUGGCAUUUAUUUUGUCAUUUUUAUGCUUUCUAAUUGGCUCAUAAGACAUGUUAAUGCAUUCUAUAUUUGUUAUUAUUGCAAUUCCUAAUUAGCUACUCUUACUGCCAGAAAAAGGCAAAAACAAUUUUUUCUAAUGGAAUCUACUUCACAGCAAGUUAGGUGUUUACACUGAAAUGCAGCAUCUGUUCAUUUUCCUAAAAGAAAGUUGCAGAUAAAUUUUCCCUAGUUUCAGACAUCCAUGUAAAUUUAUCUUGAGCAAUAUUUUGAUUGUUAUAUUUUAUACAUUGUGCUUGCAUUUUAUGCAUGUUGUGUAUUAUAUACAUUAUGAUUCAGUAAAUAAAGAUAGAUGAAAAAGCUCUUCUGAAAAUAAAAAUACUGUCCACACAAUAUUUUGUUUCAUAAAGGUCUAUACAUCACAUUCUGGGAUUUCUUAUACCUUGAACCCUAAAUGAACAACAUGUGGAAGAAUCUAUAUGGAGGGGCAAUAGUGGGGCUAUUUUACAGACAAAACUGUCGUUUUCAGCAAAUGAUAUUCAGAACCCAGAAGUCGCACCACAGUUCUCCAGGGCCUGGGUUGAAGAGAGAGUACUAUUACCUUACUUACAAAAGCUUCCCAAUGCUGUUGGAAUAACUGUAAAAUCAUCUAAAAACAAAU